rnacentral:lncRNA from 1 species
AUGGCUGAGGAAGACACUGCUGCUGGAGGUGCAGUGGAUGUUAAUACUGCUUUAAAAGAGGUGCUGAAGACCACUCUCAUCCAGGUCAGCCUAGCACAAGGAAUUUGCGAAGCUGUCAAAGCGUCAGACAAGAGCCAAGCCCAUCUUUGUGGCUUUCAUCUAACUGUGAUGAGCCUGUGUAUGUCAAAUUGAUGGAGGCCCUUUGAGCUGAACACCAAAUCCACCUAAUUAAGGUUGAUGACAAGAAACUAGGGUAAUGGGUAGGUCUCUGUAAAACUGACAGAGAGGGAAACCCCAUAAAAUGGUUGGUUGUAGUUGUGUGGUAGGACUAUGGGAAA